rnacentral:lncRNA from 1 species
AUGUGGAGAGAAGUUUUCACUCGGGAAGAGGGGGAGCUGCUCAUAAAUCUCGUUCGAUCAAACCCGGCGUUGUAUUCCCCGGAACACCCAGACUACAAGAACCCAGCUUUGAAAGCGGCCAUUUGGGAAAGUAUCAGCGAGGCUGUCAACAAAACUGAGAAAGAAUGCAAGUUCAAGUGGAAGUAUAUGCGCGACUAUUAUAUCAAGAGGAAGCGCCAAAAGAGACUGCCUACUGAAAGGGACCCAUCUGUCUGUCAUCUCCUAUCAUUCCUAAGUGAUCCCUUAGAAACAGGCCCGAUGGCUGGAAAUAUUCCUACAGAAACCAACAACGAGAGUAAUGAUGGUACUUCAGAGGAAGACGACGAAGCCAGUGACGACACAACGCACGAGGAAGAAGAAGCUUCGAAUCGUGUCAACGAAACACCUGGAAACCCUAAAUUGAGACUGAGGGGAACCGCCCCGACCGUGACCUCCACAUCCCGAAAUUCAGCCACAUCAAUAUCCAGAGUCUCGUCAAGGAGCAGGACUCUCGGUAAAAGGAAGCUGGUCUCUCGCGGCAGGGCCAUCGACAAAUUCCGACGGCAAACCAAGGAAUGCAAUGAAUCAACUAAAACUAUCAUCUCCAGCAGAUCUCGAUCUCAGCCAGCUCCAACGGACCCAAUCGACGCCUACUUCAGCGGGAUUUUAGCGACUGUAAAAAACCUACCCCCGCUCCUCCAGCUCGAGGCGAAAAGGGACAUCUCCAACAUUGUUUUUAAUUUGGAGUUCAGGGCUUUACAAGACCAAAUAACCCUCCCUGUUGCGUCGGUACCGACUGCUUCCACUGAUCCAAUACCACCUUCCGAUGUAUUCGAGACCACGACUCAUUCUUUCACAAAUGUUUAAUUCUCUCCCCUCUGCAGAUGCCUUUCCUACCGUUACCUUCAGUGCUGUUAAGUAACUGGAAUUCUUGUAAAUAAUUUCUUCGUUAAAGCGUAUUUUUUUCUAAAUGAUUUCCUCGAUAAAGCGUAUUUUUUCCUGAAUAAUUCCCUGGAUUAAGCGUACUUUAUUUCUAACUCACUUCAGUGUCACACUAAUUUCCUCUCGUCCUGUGAUCGAACAUGGGUGGCAAUUCUUGCCGAAAACUUCCACUUUCUUCUACUUCUCAGAUGCUCUCAGAUUUAAACUUGCGCGAAGAUAACAGAUUUUCUUCCUUUAUGCAAUUUCACGAAGGUAAAGAAAAUAUUCUCUCGGGCGACGAUACAAAACCAUUUCACAGAUCAAGUCGCUUAUUGUCUCUGCAGGGUGAAAAGAAAGUCCGAGCGGGGGGCUUUCGCAUAAUUCACAAAAUUUUCAAAAUUUUAAAGCAUCUAUGACGCAUUUCGAGUCAAUUCCGUCAUGAAUAAUUAUCAAAUACAAGCGUCCUCCCUUCUUCAGGGUUGCCACAGAAUUUAGAAAAUGAAAUUCCCUGACAUUCCCCUGAUUUUCCUGACACAUUUUGGUGAAAUUCCUGACAAUUGAAGAUCUGACGGAUGGUUAAGAAGGCAUGAUUGAAAAUAGUUUUCAGGUCUUUUUCAAAAUCUCAAACCCGUUCUAGAAAGCAAAUGAAGGUGAUUUAACAAAUUUGUCCUGACAUUUUCGUCAUUUUCCCUGACAUUUCCCGGUUUUCCCUGACUGUGGCAACCCUGUUUCUUCUUCCCUCCCGUCUCUCUUCCCUUUCCCCCUUACUGGCGUAUGCCUCCCCCCCCCGGGGGGGGGGGGGGGGGGGGGGGGAAACCGUCUACACUAGAAAAUACACAAACUAAUUGCGGUAGACGCACUUGUACGACAGUAUGUUGGGAGUUUUUUAGCCAACGUGCGUUAAAAAUUCAGCAUAAAGCUGAAAAUCUCAAUACAGAGGGAAAAAGCUCGUUCGAGCACAGUUUUCCCUCAAAGAGAUGUGCUGUUUGGAGCAACACUAGUUACGUCCAUUCAGGAAGGACUCUACAGACGCGUUUCGGCCUUGUUGGACCAAUCCUCAGUGCAGUGCAGCCUCCUGAAUUUCCUGCUCUGCUACCAAGCUAAAAGACUCCAACAUACUAGAAAAUACCCAAAGUUCGAGGGGAUAAAGAGAAAGUCAAGGCAAACCCGAAUCUGACAAAAAAUCGCCGAGGUGAAAUGUGGCGCCUCGUGGAAGCGGCUUGGCAGGAGUGCGUGGCCUGACUUGGCCUCAGCUUGCUCUCCAGCGUUGCCGCUCGGCUGCCAAAAUUCACCGGAUCCCAUCACGAGAAAUGCCCUUUUUAACCUAAAACGGCACCAGCGCCGCUCAGCUGGUCGCGGCAGCGCAGCACAGGGCACAGCCAACACGGGGGAGAUGCACGAGUGCUGCGCUUGUCUUACUCGGCGAAAACCACGCGACUGGCUCAGAAACCCCUAUCAGAUAAGCGGUUCUGGCGCAGAAGCCAAUUCCGACCCGGAAACUCCGUGCAUAUCGACCGUGAGUCUCGGGGUUAACUAACCCCAAAUGCUUGAGGUCAAAUUGACGACUCCGGAGUCUGGGUUCCUCUCCGGAGAGGAACCUCGAAACAUCUUGAGUGGCGUCGGGUGGAGCCGAGACUUGGUUCAUAGACCGGAAGCGAACGGAGUUCUUGCAAGGAGCGAGCGUUUUCGUCUGCUUCUCGAACAGUGGCGUGGCGUGCUUUGCGAUAUAUCGACUGAUCUGCCAUUUAAGCCAAUGUAAGAGGAUCGAUAAAUAGGGUGUUCGCAGCGAACACCUUAAUAAUCGAUUAUUCAACACAGCUUCAAAUGGGGAAAUAUCGAUAGAUCGCAAAGCACGCCACGCCACUGUUCUCGAACCCUCUGUAAAAUUUGAUAAGACACACGGACGCCGGGAAAAUACCUUUGAAACCUCGCACUGGCUAGAGUCCCUUUAUACCCAGAGUUACGACAACUCACAUUUCGUUGGGCUGAAAGUGGCCUAAAAAAAAUCCAAUUCUGAUUGGUUCUCGCUCAUGGAGUCACAAACGAGGGCACCAAGAUUGCGGUGACUCGAAUGUGAACAAAAAUAAUGAAAAUAUUACCUAAUUGUGGUUUAUCAAGAGUAAAUUGUUAUUUCCGUCGGUCCAAAAUGAAAAUAGAUUAAAAAAUUAUUCACAAACCAAUCUCAUUUUCUUUUUAAUUGAUCAAUUUUGUUGAUGCUGUUGUUUUCGGAUGACAGACAUCGCAGGAUUCCUUAUCCUUAUCCCUCAAUAUCGUACGUUUGGGUGCACUCGUUUGUGCCUCCACGGCCAGCCAAGGCCGGCUGCCAGUCAGCUGAUAAUCGAGUGUCUUAACUCUGGGUAUAAAGGGACUCCAGCACUGGCAAAUGGAUUGCAAGUACUCUAAUCUGCAGGCCGAUUACUGAAAUUGAUGGACAAAGAAGACAAAAGAGAUAUGGAGGGAUCCUAUUGGUGGAAGCGGGUGGUUGCAAUGGACAAAAGAGGUAGGUAAUAGACUAACUGACAGCAACCCACGAGAGACCCGAUAGUUAGUCCAUCAUUUUUUCACUAAGUCAAUAGGAAUCUGCCAUUUCAAUCAAUAGGAUUGCUCCAUACUCCCCACGUCUUUUUGUCUAUCGCUUUGUCUAUCAAUUUCAAUAAUUAGUCGGCUAGCGAGACAGUCGUGUUGAUUGAAAUAAGCAUGAAAUAAGCACGAUUGUGUGGAAAUCAGCUGAAGGAUGAGCCCCACAGCUCCAUCAUCUACCAUCAAAUUUUUGCAGGCCGCAGAAAUUUGAUGGUAUAGGUGGUGCGCACCAGUCACCAUUUGAUCGGAAUUUGAUGGGAAUUUGAGCGAGUAACCAGCCCAGUAGAGCCAGCGCUACAACCCUACCUACCUCAAAGGAAGCCGACAUAGUUUGACAGUUGAGUUGCUGAGAUCGUCUCUUUCAAUGGGCAUGACUUUUCUCUGGUAGUUCAUUUUGGUCAAAUUAUGAAACUCUCCAUCCUGUCGGCUAG